rnacentral:rRNA from 1 species
GAUGAACGCUGGCGGCGUGCUUAACACAUGCAAGUCGAACGGUGAAGGCGGAGCUUGCUCUGCUGGAUCAGUGGCGAACGGGUGAGUAACACGUGAGCAAUCUGCCCCUGACUCCGGGAUAAGCGCUGGAAACGGCGUCUAAUACUGGAUACGAGCUGCGAAGGCAUCUUCAGCAGCUGGAAAGAACUUCGGUCAGGGAUGAGCUCGCGGCCUAUCAGCUUGUUGGUGAGGUAACGGCUCACCAAGGCGUCGACGGGUAGCCGGCCUGAGAGGGUGACCGGCCACACGGGGACGGGGGAAGGGCCCGGACCCCUACGGGAGGCAGCAGGGGGGAAUAUUGCAAAAGGGGGGAAAGCGUGAUGCAGCACCCCCGGGUGAGGGACGACGGCCUUCGGGUGGGAACCCUCUUUUGGGAGGGAAGAAGGAAAAGGGACGGUACCUGCAGAAAAAGCCCCGGCUAACUACGG